UCCCUGGUGUUUCAGACGGUAAGGAAUCUGCCUGCAAGGCAGGAGACCCAGGUUCGAUCCCUGGGUCGGGAA
rfam:TPA: Bos taurus chromosome 11, whole genome shotgun sequence.